CUGCAAAGCAUAGGUAACUGGUUGUUUCCUGUCUCCCUCGCUGCAGAAUUGCACUGUUCCCUGGUCUUCACCCACCUCAGUCCAACAGAAUCGCAUUUGGCAACUCCCAAGCAAAAAGUCCAAACUCCUCUUGGAAGGGAAGUAAAAAGAAAAGGGACAAGAAGUAACAGUAAAAAAAUACAGUAAAAGCACUCUUCAAAGUCCUGUGUCUUCUGGCCUUUGAAAAUGACUUUCUUUCCUGGUGAUCUGUUACUUAGUUUAACCUUCCAAGGACAGGCUGCCUUGGUGAUGUGCCAGUGGCAGACACUUCCUUACUGAGACCGUCAAGAAGUGCAUCAUUCUGCAGGUGCAAUAGCUAUAUCUUGGCCAUGGAUCAGAAACACAGAUAGUGCACCAUGAGGUAGCGGACAGAAGAACUUUAUCCCAUACAGGAGACGAGUAGCAGUUUGUGGAUUAGCAGCUUAAUUUAAAUAAUUGUGGUCAGCCUGAACAUAGUUGCCCCGUUAAUAAAGGGAAAAAAACAUAGCUGAAAAAAAUCUUCUCCAUAUUGUUAACUCAUGUUUCUAUGUACAACACACUUGUUUAUGUAUGUGAGAACAACUGAUCCCAUGUUUUCUGCUACUGAGAAGUUGUUUCAUGGUAAGUGUACCAGUUUUGAUUCCUUCCAGACUCAGGUUGCUACUCUAAAGCAAUCUCUUCGUGUAAAGCAGUCACUUCAUAGUCUGUUCUCUGGAUUGUCCAUACUUAUAGCAGUGUCUGGGCGUAAUAUCAGCAAGGCAUAACUAUUGGAUGUGUGCCUGUACUAACUCAUUAUCUUGGUCAUGUUGAGGAAUUCCUAGUUUGCUGUAGAUAGAAACUUGUUAAUGAAUAAUGAAAGUAACUUCUUAGUGUUUAGUGUCUUAAAAUCCAUCAGGACUGAGGCAAGUGUUCCCAGAAAAGAAAGCAGUGUUGCCCAGGUCACAGCCAGGAGAUAAAAUUCAGAUUUAGAAAAGCAAAUCGUUUUCCAUGGCAGAAAACAAAAAUGGAAAGGUGAGAUCAGAGUUCUUUGAAAGGCAGAUGUUGAACCAAAGGGUAGACUCUAUACUGCAUAUUAAGAUGCCAUGGAUGUUAGACCUUGAGAGAACUUAAGGCAUUAAUUAGCAUUCUCUGUUUAGAAAGCUAAGAAUUUUUCCUAGAAAUAUGUUAUGCUGAAAGUUUUCAGGAAUAUAUGUUUUCUGGAAAUGUAUUACAUUGAAAGUUUCUUGUCAACUAACCUGAGAUUUCCAAAUUUGGGAUUUUUGUGGUAACACCUUGUUUUGUAAUUUUUGUAAUUGUGUUGUCAAAAUCUUUGUCUCUGUCUUGUUUCCUUAUUUCCCCUUCCACCCAAAAGCAGAGAACAGGUUUAAGGGAGCCAGCUGGUACAGCUGCACAGUGCCAGAGCUGAACACGCAGUCACUGCUAGCAGUCCUCUCAGUGCCAUUAUACCAGGAGCAGAGAUCUGCCAUGUUCACACUCUGCCCACUCAUGCUGCCUACAAAUUGCGCUGCAGUAGGUUUAAGGAGCAGUGUCCUUGGUCAGGCAAAAAGGGAAACAGUAAUGAAUAAAUAACAGUUUUUUUGCUUUCUCUGUGGGCUUCGCUUUUAAUUACUUAACUUAUUGUGUCCAUUGGCAACACUGUACGCUUUUGUAUGUGUUUCUUUUCCCAUAAACAUAUGUUGAA